rnacentral:rRNA from 1 species
UCGAGAAUCUUCCGCAAUGGGCGAAAGCCUGACGGAGCGACGCCGCGUGACUGAUGAAGUUCUUCGGAACGUAAAGGUCUUUUGUGAGGUAGAAAGUAAUUGAUCGCCUCAAGAAUAAGGGGUUGCUAAACUCGUGCCAGCAGCAGCGGUAAUACGAGUGCCCCGAGCGUUAUCCGGAAUUAUUGGGCGUAAAGGGUGUGUAGGCGGCUCUGUUAGUCUUUUGUUAAAGCUCCCGGCUUAACCGGGAAGGUGCAAAAGAAACGGCAGAACUUGAGGGUGCGAGAGGUGAAUGGAACUCAUAGUGUAGGGGUGAAAUCCGUUGAUAUUAUGGGGAACACCAAAAGCGAAGGCAAUUCACUGGCGCAUUCCUGACGUUGAGACACGAAAGCGUGGGUAGCGAAUGGG